GACGAACGCUGGCGGCGUGCUUAACACAUGCAAGUCGAGCGAUGAAGUUCCUUCGGGAAUGGAUUAGCGGCGGACGGGUGAGUAACACGUGGGUAACCUGCCUCAUAGAGGGGAAUAGCCUUCCGAAAGGAAGAUUAAUACCGCAUAAGAUUGUAGUAUCGCAUGAUAUAGCAAUUAAAGGAGCAAUCCGCUAUGAGAUGGACCCGCGUCGCAUUAGCUAGUUGGUGAGGUAACGGCUCACCAAGGCGACGAUGCGUAGCCGACCUGAGAGGGUGAUCGGCCACAUUGGGACUGAGACACGGCCCAGACUCCUACGGGAGGCAGCAGUGGGGAAUAUUGCACAAUGGGGGGAACCCUGAUGCAGCAACGCCGCGUGAGUGAUGACGGUCUUCGGAUUGUAAAGCUCUGUCUUCAGGGACGAUAAUGACGGUACCUGAGGAGGAAGCCACGGCUAACUACGUGCCAGCAGCCGCCGUAACAC
rnacentral:rRNA from 1 species